UCGAGGGGUAUAUGUCUUCGGAUAUAGAGACCGGCGCACGGGUGCGUAACGCGUAUGCAAUCUACCUUUUACAGAGGGAUAGCCCAGAGAAAUUUGGAUUAAUACCUCAUAGUAUAGUGACUCGGCAUCGAGAUACUAUUAAAGUCACAACGGUAAAAGAUGAGCAUGCGUCCCAUUAGCUAGUUGGUAAGGUAACGGCUUACCAAGGCUACGAUGGGUAGGGGUCCUGAGAGGGAGAUCCCCCACACUGGUACUGAGACACGGACCAGACUCCUACGGGAGGCAGCAGUGAGGAAUAUUGGACAAUGGGCGCAAGCCUGAUCCAGCCAUGCCGCGUGCAGGAUGACGGUCCUAUGGAUUGUAAACUGCUUUUGUACGAGAAGAAACACUCCUUCGUGAAGGAGCUUGACGGUAUCGUAAGAAUAAGGAUCGGCUAACUCCGUGCCAGCAGCCGCGGUAAUACGGAGGAUCCAAGCGUUAUCCGGAAUCAUUGGGUUUAAAGGGUCCGUAGGCGGUUUAGUAAGUCAGUGGUGAAAGCCCAUCGCUCAACGGUGGAACGGCCAUUGAUACUGCUAAACUUGAAUUAUUAGGAAGUAACUAGAAUAUGUAGUGUAGCGGUGAAAUGCUUAGAGAUUACAUGGAAUACCAAUUGCGAAGGCAGGUUACUACUAAUGGAUUGACGCUGAUGGACGAAAGCGUGGGUAGCGAACAGGAUUAGAUACCCUGGUAGU
rnacentral:rRNA from 1 species